UGUGGAAGCCUGAAUCUGAGUGGGUGCAGUUCCAGUGUCUGCACGCAACAAGCAGUCUUCCUAUAGUAAUACUGGAGAUCUCUGUCUGGCUCUGGAAAGGAAGCUCUGAGCCAGAUCGUUCCUCUCUGUACACG